rnacentral:rRNA from 1 species
AUUGAACGCUGGCGGCAGGCCUAACACAUGCAAGUCGAGCGAGCGGCGGACGGGUGAGUAAUGUCUGGGAAACUGCCUGAUGGAGGGGGAUAACUACUGGAAACGGUAGCUAAUACCGCAAACCAUCAGAUGUGCCCAGAUGUGAUUAGCUAGUCGGUGGGGUAAGGGCGCACCUAGGCGACGACCACUAGCUGGUCCGAGAGGAUGACCAGCCACACUGGAACUGAGACACGGUCCAGACUCCUACGGGAGGCAGCAGUGGGGAAUAUUGCACAAUGGGCGCAAGCCUGAUGCAGCCAUGCCGCUUGUGUGAAGAAGGCCUUCGGGUUGUAAAGCACUUUCAGCGGGGAUGCGUUACCCGCAGAAGAAGCACCGGCUAACUCCGUGCCAGCAGCCGCGGUAAUAC